GCAUCUGUAGCUCAGUGGAUAGAGCAGCGGUUUCCGGAGCCGCGUUGUCGGGGGUUCGACUCCCUUCAGGUGCA
rnacentral:tRNA from 1 species